UAGCAAGGAAUGCAUAGGCUCUUAAAGUGAGACGAGAUUACGAACUCACAAAAGAGAAAUAAGGAGAUGACGCGCCUACUCGAAGCAAUAGGUGAUGCACCUACUUGGACCAAGUAGGUGACUCACCUGCUUGGGGUGGACUCCAUGUUGCCAUGUGGUAGCGUAUGAUUGGGAGCAUGGAUGAGGUGGAGCCCUAGGGGCUGACACAUGUCACCCCUAGGGGCUACCCCAUGUCACUCUCCAAGGGAGUGUAUAUAUACAUGUCUUGAUGACUAAGGAUUUAUUUCCGUAGUCUUUUACUUAGAAAAAAAGAGAGAAAAACGUGAGAGCAAGAGCAAGGCAGCCACGGGUUGCUCCAAUUCAAGAAAAGGAGUGACGCGAACAGCCCGCAAACUUUCAGCAUGUUAACGAGCUUCCAAAGUUGAUUUUUGGCAAGGUUCAGAGGACGAUGAGACAAGCCGGGUUAAAAGCAAUCGAU